rnacentral:lncRNA from 1 species
UUAACCACUUUACUUAUUGCUUUGAUUUUUUUCUUAACUAAAUCUGUAGUACUUCUGCUGUGCUACUUUUUUUUUUUUUUUUUUUAAAUCCUCCCACUUUUGCUUUGGUAAGGGUGUCCCAGCUUGAGAAUAAAGUUUCUCUUUGAAUUGGUAAAUGCUAUUUUAGGUGUACAGGAUGCAGCUGAAAGUGUUUUCUCAGCCUUUUACAUGAUCCAGGCUUAAAAAAUGAUUCACAAUCAUUUUCAUUUGCAAAUGGUUGUUUGUCUGCCUUGCACAUGUGUAGUCAGAGUAAUAGACGUACAAGUACAGAUCCUACCUAGUUGUGCAAAUCCCAUUUGUUUCCAAGUUUAAGCAGUUGUGCCCACACUUUAAAGGUCUGUUUUAAAUCCCUUUGAGCGUGUUACUGAGACAUAACUGUGAAUGUAAAUAUUAGUUUAGAAAAUAUCUAGCAUAAAAGAAAGGGUGUGAUUCAAUUACAUCAUUAUUAUAUUGCAGUGAUGAUGUCUGUGAUAUCCACUGUGAUGUGAAAACUGAAUUGAACAAAAAUACAGUUCAUUUGGCUCUCAGUUUCUCAGUUUUUUAUUGUUAGAACAAAAUGUUCAUAGAUUUCCACUUUGUUUUGUGAAGUUUGUAUAUAGCUUGCUAAAAAAAAUAAUGGUUUUUAUAAACUCUUUUGACAGCUCUGGCUGGAAAUUAGAAGCAUUGGGACUGCACAGAUGAAGGUUCCAGAGAGAUUAGAAACCAGGAGUUUCAUUUUGCUGCUCUGAUUCACGCUUUCUUCACUUCACUUGGGGACAGCACUGGAGACAGGAAUCUGAACUGACUGCCUGGUGCUUAAAAAGGUGAAUAAUGACUCGGAGAAGACCUUCCUCGUAUCUUUUGAUCUUUGGGCUUCAGACACCCCUUCACCCAUAAUUAACUUGUGUGUUGACUGAUUACUUGAGCGAUCGAGGGAGACUCAGUAUGUCAGUGGAAACCAGGAAACUAUUACUCUAUGGUGAAACAGCAAUCAAGCCAACUCGUCUAUGAUACAAAUCAGAUACCUGUGAGAACAAGCCACGUAAUGGUACAAAAGCAAAUAAAAUCCCAAAGAGAAAGGAUUGAUGUUUUAUUUAUGUCUAAAAUGAAGAAGCCAGCUCAAACUUGCCAGGAGAGGGGAUGGCUGGAGCAAACACUUCAUUCAUUGAGGUACGUUCAAAAGUCAUCAACUCUGUCCUUAAUCUGAGGCUCUUUCUGAAGUGAGCAAAAGUUUUGCCUGAAUAAGGAACUCAGGUAUUGGUAAAUAAAUUUGUUUUUGCUCUUUCUGUUUAACA